rnacentral:rRNA from 1 species
UACGUAGGGGGCUAGCGUUGUCCGGAAUCAUUGGGCGUAAAGAGCGUGUAGGCGGCUUGGUAAGUCCGCUGUGAAAGUCCAGGGCUCAACCCUGGAAAGCCAGUGGAAACUGUCAAGCUAGAGUCCGGAAGAGGCGAGUGGAACUCCUGGUGUAGCGGUGAAAUGCGCAGAUAUCAGGAAGAACACCAAUGGCGAAGGCAGCUCGCUGGGACGGUACUGACGCUGAGACGCGAAAGCGUGGGGAGCAAACGGG